GGACGGUUAGCUCAGUUGGUUAGAGCGCUACAUUGACAUUGUAGAGGUCAUAGGUUCGAGCCCUAUACCGUCCA
rnacentral:tRNA from 1 species